AUUGAACGCUGGCGGCAGGCUUAACACAUGCAAGUCGAGCGAGCGGCGGACGGGUGAGUUAUGUUUGCGAAACUGCCUGAUGGAGGGGGAUAACUACUGGAAACGGUAGCUAAUACCGCAUACCAUCAGAUGUGCCCAGAUGGGAUUAGCUAGUAGGUGGGGUAAUGGCUCACCUAGGCGUCGAUCCCUGGCUGGUCUAAGAGGAUGACCAGCCGCUCUGGAACUGAGACACGAUCCGGACUCCUACGGAAGGCAGCAGUGGGGAAUAUUGAACAAUGGGCGCAGGCCUGAUGCAGCCAUGCCACGUGUGUGAAGAGGGCCUUCGGGUUGUAAAGCACUUUCAGCGAGGAGGCGUUACUCGCAGAAGAAGCACCGGCUAACUCCGUGCCAGCAGCCGCGGUAAUAC
rnacentral:rRNA from 1 species